rnacentral:rRNA from 1 species
GAUGAACGCUAGCUACAGGCUUAACACAUGCAAGUCGAGGGGCAGCAUGGUCUUAGCUUGCUAAGGCCGAUGGCGACCGGCGCACGGGUGAGUAACACGUAUCCAACCUGCCGUCUACUCUUGGACAGCCUUCUGAAAGGAAGAUUAAUACAAGAUGGCAUCAUGAGUCCGCAUGUUCACAUGAUUAAAGGUAUUCCGGUAGACGAUGGGGAUGCGUUCCAUUAGAUAGUAGGCGGGGUAACGGCCCACCUAGUCUUCGAUGGAUAGGGGUUCUGAGAGGAAGGUCCACCACAUUGGAACUGAGACACGGUCCAAACUCCUACGGGAGGCAGCAGUGAGGAAUAUUGGUCAAUGGGCGCAGGCCUGAACCAGCCAAGUAGCGUGAAGGAUGACUGCGCUAUGGGUUGUAAACUUCUUUUAUAAAGGAAUAAAGUCGGGUAUGCAUACCCGUUUGCAUGUACUUUAUGAAUAAGGAUCGGCUAACUCCGUG